AUUAAAGUUAUGCUAUGUCAAUAAUAACAUAUAAAAAUAAUAAUAUUUUUAUCAUAUCAAUAAUAAUAUAUAAAAAAAUAAUAUUUUUACAACAUCAAAUUUCACAUUAUUACUACCAAUUCCCCAUAUUUAGUGAGCACAAUACUAAACUUUCAAAUCUGCCAUUAUCUAAGUGCUCUUUUACGUGGCUCUCAUACCCAAUAACUCAACUCAACUAAAUUUUUA
rnacentral:misc_RNA from 1 species